GAUGAACGCUAGCGGGAGGCCUAACACAUGCAAGCCGAGCGGUAUUGUUUCUUCGGAAAUGAGAGAGCGGCGUACGGGUGCGUAACACGUGUGCAACCUGCCUUUAUCUGGGGGAUAGCCUUUCGAAAGGAAGAUUAAUACUCCAUAACAUAUUGAACGGCAUCGUUUAAUAUUGAAAGCUCCGGCGGAUAGAGAUGGGCACGCGCAAGAUUAGCUAGUUGGUGAGGUAACGGCUCACCAAGGCGAUGAUCUUUAGGGGGCCUGAGAGGGUGAUCCCCCACACUGGUACUGAGACACGGACCAGACUCCUACGGGAUGCAGCAGUGAGGAAUAUUGGUCAAUGGGUGCAAGCCUGAACCAGCCAUCCCGCGUGAAGGACGACUGCCCUAUGGGUUGUAAACUUCUUUUGUAUAGGGAUAAACCUACCCUCGUGAGGGUAGCUGAAGGUACUAUACGAAUAAGCACCGGCUAACUCCGUGCCAGCCGCCGCCGUAAUAC
rnacentral:rRNA from 1 species